UGAGAAAGAAACAUGGCACUGUGAGAU
rnacentral:piRNA from 1 species